rfam:Danio rerio chromosome 4, GRCz11 reference primary assembly.
GUGGUCGUGGCCGAGUGGUUAAGGCGAAGGACUAGAAGUCCAUUGGGGCCUCCCCGUGCGGGUUUGAAUCCUGCCGACUACG